CAGUCGCCACGGUAAUACGUAGGGUGCGAGCGUUAAUCGGAAUUACUGGGCGUAAAGCGUGCGCAGGCGGUUAUAUAAGACAGAUGUGAAAUCCCCGGGCUCAACCUGGGACCUGCGUUUGUGACUGUAUAGCUAGAGUACGGUAGAGGGGGAUGGAAUUCCGCGUGUAGCAGUGAAAUGCGUAGAUAUGCGGAGGAACACCGAUGGCGAAGGCAAUCCCCUGGACCUGUACUGACGCUCAUGCACGAAAGCGUGGGGAGCAGACAGGAUUAGAUACCCGCGUAGUCCCUGUCUCUUAUAC
rnacentral:rRNA from 1 species